rnacentral:rRNA from 1 species
CCUACGGGAGGCAGCAGUGGGGAAUAUUGCACAAUGGGCGAAAGCCUGAUGCAGCGACGCCGCGUGAGGGAUGACGGCCUUCGGGUUGUAAACCUCUUUCAGCAGGGAAGAAGCGAAAGUGACGGUACCUGCAGAAGAAGCGCCGGCUAACUACGUGCCAGCAGCCGCGGUAAUACGUAGGGCGCAAGCGUUGUCCGGAAUUAUUGGGCGUAAAGAGCUCGUAGGCGGCUUGUCACGUCGGUUGUGAAAGCCCGGGGCUUAACCCCGGGUCUGCAGUCGAUACGGGCAGGCUAGAGUGUGGUAGGGGAGAUCGGAAUUCCUGGUGUAGCGGUGAAAUGCGCAGAUAUCAGGAGGAACACCGGUGGCGAAGGCGGAUCUCUGGGCCAUUACUGACGCUGAGGAGCGAAAGCGUGGGGAGCGAACAGGAUUAGAUACCCUGGUAGUCCACGCCGUAAACGGUGGGAACUAGGUGUUGGCGACAUUCCACGUCGUCGGUGCCGCAGCUAACGCAUUAAGUUCCCGCCUGGGGAGUACGGCCGCAAGGCUAAAACUUAAAUGAAUUGACGGCUGGAGACGNGCGAGACGACGACGAGGGAGAGG